GUCUCUCUCUCGUUGAGGCGCUGUCAAAAAGAGUUAGUCUCAUCGUGCGGCUGUGCCAGGAUGUACAAGGAUGGUAGCAUCAUUCCAUUAGAUGAUUCUUUGGGGUAUUGCUGCAAUUUUUUCAUAUAUGCUGGGAUAUGGUAGUCCUCAGAUGAAAGAGCUCAUGAGGCUUUAUGUCACCAUCCACAGGUUCCGAGCCAGCCAAGCAAUGGCCCCUAUGGCUAUCUUGAAGGAGAUUCUGCCACGAUCCAAGGAAGCCUUUGAAGAACUAUUGCCAGAAUAUGAUUGUCUUUAGGGACUAGUUCCAGCCCAAUCAGUUCUGGUAAUGUGUUUGUAUGACUGCAUAUGUCUCUCUAUUGAAGUGUUCACUCUGGUUUUGU